rnacentral:lncRNA from 1 species
GGGGAUCAAAUACUUUUCCCCCCCACUGUAUUAACAAGGGAGCAGGUCAAUACAACGCACACAUAUAAAGUGAAUCGAUUGAGUGCUCUACGAUAAUGAUGACUGGUCAUAGCUGGUCGACAAUUCACGCUCAGAUGAUUCGUUGAGAGCCCCGAGACAAAAGUACAAACGUCUUUUAUAGCCAAGAUACACCCCUUUCAACCUACAUGACGAACAACAGAUACAUAGAAUGGGUCACAAGGUUAAGAUCUGGAUGAAAGAUACCUAUAAUACAUAGCAUACAGUAUCUGCUGUGUCAACAGUUUUCAUUGUAUAGACCAGAGUCUGUCCCUCUGACUCCAAACUGGAACCAUCUCUCCCUGGUACGGUAUAGAACAGAAACAUUAACUCAUGCUCUGGAAUGCUCUUUAGGUUUUAUCACCCAAAAGACCUCAUAAAUCUCCUCUGUCAGUGUUAUCUCCCAGAGGCCCAUCCUCAGUAGAACACACACACACAAUAGUUAAUAGAAUACUCUAUUCUGUUCCAUAACACAACCAUUUGAUGCAAUAAAGGUAGUAUAACAUAGUCUUGCAGUUUUGCUCUCACAACCCUCUAUAACGUUCUCAUUUAUCAUUAUUCACGAUUCAUUCAGGAUUAUCCGUAAAUUUGUCACAAGCUUGAUGUAGUCCUUACGUACUAAGAAUAUGGAACCAAGUACGACAUUUCUGACUACUUUAUUUAUAAGAAUCUUUAAGGCUGUCAAUCAUUAAUCACCCCUAUAAAAAAAAUACUUAAAACAAUCUAUUUUUCUGAGCAAUUGUAUUAGUAUAAAAUAAUAUAAUUUCCCCUUUUUUUUUGCUUACAAUAUACUGUAGCUUAGUAUUAGAUUUUUUACAUUUUAUACAGUCAUUAUUGUUCAUAUUCAUCAAUGGUGUCAAUAAUGUCGGAACCCACUGUAUGUAUAAGAGCAUCUGGGUGUGUGGACCCUACACUGUUACUACAAAGUUCAGAGGUAACUGAUAUCAAACCCACACAGGAGCUGGAGCCGGAGGAGGCUCCACAAUCUUUCAGGGUGAAGGAAGAGGGGCUGGUCCAGGCUAAUGGAACCUCUGCCCAGGCAGCAGGAGAGGAGUUACAGCUGGCUAGAGAGGCACGAGAGGAGGAGAUGGAGGAGGAUGAAAUUGUCUCACCUUGCUCCCUAUCAGAGGUUUUCAAAUUCUAAAGUAGGUUUGGAAGUUCUGAAAAUGUGGCUUUUUGAGUAGUUGUACCCAUUUUGAAAUUGGCUGUACAAUACUGAGAUUAAUAAAGGUGCGCUGUCAUUGAUACUAAACAUUUUGUCAAAAAUCAUUGACUACGGAAUGAGUUUUCCUUUUCUCUGCACCACAAUGCAAUGGCGUGCAUGUUGAUAUUUUCGUCCAAUUAUAUCGACCUUUCUCUUGUCCUGUCCAGUUCCCAGUCCAGACCUGAGCUUCCAGCCAGAUGAGCACCUGGAAGUGUAUGUGUCAACGUCAGAGAACCCCCACCACUUCUGGAUCCAGAUUCUGGGGCUGGACAAACUUACUGCCGAGAUGAGCCGCUUCUACAGCAAAGGAACCCGGCAGGAGUGACUUCCUCAGCCUACCAUUCCAGGUCAUCGAGUGCAGCUUAGCUGGAGUCAACCCAGCAGGCAGACUGUGGAUCUAGGAGAGGAGCUGGUGAGUCUUGGCCAUGCUCUGCCUAGCCAGGAUAAUUGGAACGGUAGGGGCGACAGGUACUACCCCGGAUCACCACAGAGGAUGUUGAUACCUUAGCGUGACCCUGGACAACACCCUGUCGUUCUCCGAAAACAUCAAGGCGGUGACCCGAUCCUGCGCACAAUCCACUGGCUUCCAGUUGAAGCUCGCAUCUGCUACAAGACCAAGUUGCUUGCCUACGGAGCUGUGAGGGGAACGGCACCUCCGUACCUUCAGGCUCUGAUCAGUCCCUACACCCAAAGAAGGGCACUGCGUUCAUCCACCUCUGGCC